AUUGUUAGACACCUUAUUUAUAUAGGUUAGUUAUUUUAGUUAUUUAGCGACGCACCAUAGUAGACGCAUAUUGAACGGGACUAGUGACGUUUGGGAUAUGUUGGGUUAGAGACCGGAAAAUCAGUUAGCGAUAGAACACUCCAGGGUAACGACGUAUUUAGUGACAGAGACUUCUACUGUGGCCCUUUUAUCAGAAUAAAUACAUGUUGAAUAGUUCAUCAGAGUCGACUACAUCUCUUCACUAGUUAAAAUAGAUGUUUGUUUCGUUCUAUCUGGAUUGUUGUUCAACUAAACGUAAUACACCCGAACAAUUACACCCAAACGAUUGCAGAGUAAUUGGUUGACUUCAAGACAGCCUGAACAAGCAACAUCACAGUGGCGACCCCGAACCUCGAAGCCGGACCCCUGAUGAAGCCGAACAUCGAACCGGACCUCGAAGCAGAACGUUUACUCAGGUGAGGGUCGUGCACUCGAAGAUAAGAUUUCAUCGGAGUACGGCUGAACACAGCAUCACCGCAGAGUGACUUUGUUCUAGAUCUACAUGCAGUCGUCGCCUGUUUGAUCGCACGUUCAACGAGCCGUUAACUCAGGGUGACCUUCGUCAGGACCGUAAUCAUCGCAACGUCUGGUCUACUUAACCAGUAUAGUAUCAAAGCCUGAUCUUCAUAUGCUGAAUCGACCUACAGCCAGAGAAACCGUUCAUUCAUAACGGGUGAGAGAUCGUUAGUGAACCUGUUGGACAUAUUUUUUCUUCGUCAUAGGAGCCACAUUGAGUAUCAAGUUUUACCUCGUCAGUUUCGAGAAGGACAGUUUGCCCGCUGUCAGAAGUAUUGUGAGUACUACAAGUUUGGUAGCUAACUAAAUCGAAAUCGCUCUGUCGUCUUACCCUUGGAGAGAUUCUUGUGGAGCAGUUUGCUCAUUGAACCGGUUGCUUGCCAUUUUUAUAACGGUCACUAUGUUUAACCUUUGGAAGGUUAGUAAAGUAAUCUUUAUCAGUACUGAACAUUGAUAUAUCUAGUAUUCGUCGGUCUAGACCAUACCUAGACUUGUUAGCAGUGAAGUUGUGGAAACAGCUACAUCCACUUAAUUUCGUUGAAAACCGUUAAUCGUCUAACGGAACGUCGUCGGAGGUGACCUUGGUCUCACCUAGUCUACAUUGGACAGUUUGGUCUAGUGAAGCAGAGUACAACAGCAAACUUCGUCGUACUACCAGAGUAGCAGCAGAAGCAGUGAACUAUUUUAGAAAACCGUUAUUCGUCAGCCCAGAUCAAGUCAUCGUCAAGAAAGUCGUUAUUCGUCAGCACAGAUCAAGUCAUCGUCAAGAAAUUCGUUAUUCGUCAGUCGUCCAGAUCAAGUUACCGUCAAGAGACUGUUAUUUGUCAGUAGUCAUCUACACAAGUCAAGUCAUCGCCAGAAGAACCGUUAACCUAUUCGUCAGUAACUGUGUACACAAAGUCGUCGGAACUACACAUACGGUCAUCAACAGUCGUCGAAGGGACUGAAACAUUUUGCUGUGGCAUAUCAGGACAUCUGUGGCAUUACGUGGGAUACUGGUAGCACCGGAGAACAGAGUCAGAACUGGAAGAGAGGCAGUGGAAUUUGUUGUGAUCUAGCAUAUUCGGGAGUCCGAACAAAGGGAUCUUUCUUAUCAAAAGCUAAGUGCCAUUUUUCUUAUUAGUAUAUGUUUAGAUUGCCCUUAGAAAUAGAUUUUGUCUAAAUUUGGUACGUUAGCCUGAGUAAAAUCAGGUGGUGCGCCUUAAAACCCGUCGGGGUAAAGACAUAAUUUAGAUGAAAAGCUAUAUUAUACGUUUAGGGUUGUAAUUUGUUUUGUUUGUGUAAACGUCAUAUCCGUUGUUGCCUAGUUACUUCGUGACGUUAUCAUUGUGUGCCAUAUUGUCACAUCCCAACCCAUAGCGAUAGUCUCAUUUUAAUUAUUUCAUUUGUUUAUAUUAUUUUAAAUUAUUUAUUUUUAUUAAUUUAAUUAGAUCUGUAUUUUUUUUUUCACUUAAUGAUAGAAAGUGCGGGUAGGAUUCUUUUACUGUGAAUCAGACUAAUAUAAAUUUAGUUUGAGCGGUUAAAAUCAAAUAUGAUUUUGCCAUGAGAAUAAUGCCGAAACUGGCUAUGUAGUCAAACACUAUCGUCUGGCUAAAUUUAGAUCUGCAAAUUGUUGUACAUCUCUUUGGUACAAUUAAAUCAUCUAGACUCUAAUUUGAAAUAUUAUUAAUUGGAAGAUGAAUGAAGAUUACUGCCAGUGAAGAACACUUGUGACGUGUGACGUGCCCAUAAGAUGCCACAUUUUCUUUUAUGAUGAACUGUGUACUAAUGAAGAUGAUUUUGGAAUGUUAUGAACUGUUAUGAACAUUGACAUGAAUAUGAAGAUGUCAAGAUGAAGAGAUCAAGAUUUUAUGUUUGUGGUCUUCCCCUUAAAUUGAAAAUGCCCUUGUAAGACUUGACAGUAGUGGAAAAAUAUUGACAUAUUUUUUUUUCAAGGGGGGGAGGAAUCUGUUAGACACCUUAUUUAUAUAGGUUAGUUAUUUUAGUUAUUUAGCGACGCACCAUAGUAGACGCAUAUUGAACGGGACUAGUGACGUUUGGGAUAUGUUGGGUUAGAGACCGGAAAAUCAGUUAGCGAUAGAACACUCCAGGGUAACGACGUAUUUAGUGACAGAGACUUCUACUGUGGCCCUUUUAUCAGAAUAAAUACAUGUUGAAUAGUU